UUUCUCUGGGGACAGGUGGUCAUGGGAUCAUCAUAUCAUCGUGGUGCAACGAAAUUUUCGUUGCAAUAGCCAAAAUGGCUAGUUAGUGCAACGAAAUAUUUCGUUGCAAUAGAUUUCACCGCUGAUACCAAGAGGCUACUGGGGUUGUUGAUUGAAGAUGUCCGAUUCACAAGAGAUUGCAGUGUUAACAGCAAUAUAUCUCUUCAAGCCACUGUUCCAAACCCAGUUGAAACAAAUAGAGUCAAUCUGCUUGAAAAAAUCUUACCCAUUCUGACAUCAUUUGUUCAGUUUAUGUGUGUCUCCAAAAGCAAUGUGACUAUAGUAGCCCAGUUGAACAACAACAAGUUGGUCCAUGCUUCUGUUAACAAUCUGAGUUUAGACGGAAGCAUUUUACCACGCUCACAGAUUGCACUCUAAGGUCUGAUAGAUGUGUUUUCAUGUCAAAUUCUUCAGACCGUAGCUUCUACUGAAAGAGAUGGAAAGGUCAACCAGCAAUCACAAUUUGUCGAAUCACGAACGAAAACUUGGCAGCCGUGUUUAGCAGAGUUUUCAGUUGGAGUUCAAACAGAAAUUCACGUUGACCCAGUUUUACCGGCCAUCACGAUGAUUCACGAGCAAUGGUCAACGGACAUCCAAGAACUAGUUUCGAGUUGAAUUUGCCACGCUGCGCAUUACUUUUUGACGGACAUUCCAUCAUUGAAGCUGAAGGAUUAAAUAUUAGCUAGCUGAUAACGAUCUUGAUCUUAAACAGGAAAGAAUCAGUUUCGAUUGCGAGGCUGCCACAAACAAAUGUGGACUAGUCACUCAGCAUUGCGCGUUUGCUUCCCCUACCGUUACCAGUUUUCCGAAGCCUGCCAACAGGAGAUGGUGAGCGUCUUCAAGUGGCUAAAAUCGCUGCACAAAAAGCCUCGGCUUCCUGGACAAAUAGAGCCACUUUAUCGUGACGUUCGUCUGUCAGUUGCACUAUUUUCUAUGGUGCUUUGUGACGACCCAUUUGAAGUCAAGCUCCGUGAUAACUACGAAUUGCGCGAAGAUGAAUUUCAUGAGAGUCUCAAACGUAAGCGUACGUUGGACGCUAAAAUUGAAGAACUCCGAAGAACGCACCCACCUUUGACGCAAGGUUAAAUGAGGCCAUGAAAGUAGCCCCACCUGGUAGGGAUGUGCGAAAGGUUUUGCUGAAAGCCAUCGAAGAGACCGAAAGUGCCCAUCAACGGCUCCCUGGAACUUCCACCCUGGCCUUAAUGGAAACAUCUUCUGACACCAUCCAAGACUGCUGCAGCAGCGGAGUUGGUUCCAGUUCGACCUCCACUUCCGAACGAGGUUAACCCCCUUUGCUGGGCACCACUGUUCGUUUGACCGUGCCUCUAGUGAAAUAAUUGUUAAGAUAUUUAGUUGAAUGUAAUUUUCGUCUUAUAACUUACCGUAAAUCUUGUAAUUGGCGUGCUUCGUUCUUCGAGAUAAUUUGUUUUCUUCAUCUGCUUUGGCGUCGGAUCAAAUUCUCAGUAGACGUCUUAUAACUGAAAUUCUAUCAAUUUUAGAACCAGCUCUUGAUGAUUAUUAACUUAUUGGCGAUUCAAUCAAAUAAUGAAAUUUUUAAAAGGUAUCUUAUAUUAAAAAAGCGUGACGGUUUAUAGAAACAAAAUGUUUUCAUUAAGUGACAUGUAAAAGAAAUCAAUGAAAUUAUAGAACUGAGUCGCAUGGACUCGGGUGUAGUUAUUCUCAGCAGCCUUUUGAAGUUGAUUAAAAGAUUUAAUCGGAUCGUAGUAAAAAGUGUAUUUCGAACAAUAAUCAUUGAUUACGAUGAUUGCUGUUGAUCAAAUAUUCAGAGAAUAAAGGCUACGGUUAUAACUUUAUAAUGGGUGUAGUUGCCGGUGGUGUGCACACAGUCUGCCUUACUAGUAAAGGCGAACUUUACACUUUUGGAUGUACGGUAAUGAUGAAGGAGCCUUAGGUCGUCGUGACACUAGCGAAGAAGCAGCGAAUUUGAACCUUGCUUGCUUUAGCUCAACAUCUUGGUCCUACAACCUACAAUCAACUUGGUACUUGGCAAACAAAGCCCUUAAACAAUCAAACAAAUGAAUAGGCGAAACAAUUUAUUUUAUUUUAAUGAAAUUUAUUGAAAUCAACUGACAGAACAGUGACGACAAGUAUCAAAAGUA
rnacentral:lncRNA from 1 species